CCUACGGGAGGCAGCAGUGGGGAAUAUUGGACAAUGGGGGGAACCCUGAUCCAGCCAUGCCGCGUGUGUGAAGAAGGCCCUCGGGUUGUAAAGCACUUUCAGUGAGGAAGAACGCCUGGUGGUUAAUACCCAUCAGGAAAGACAUCACUCACAGAAGAAGCACCGGCUAACUCUGUGCCAGCAGCCGCGGUAAUACGGAGGGUGCGAGCGUUAAUCGGAAUUACUGGGCGUAAAGCGCGCGUAGGUGGCUUGAUAAGCCGGUUGUGAAAGCCCCGGGCUCAACCUGGGAACGGCAUCCGGAACUGUCAAGCUAGAGUGCAGGAGAGGAAGGUAGAAUUCCCGGUGUAGCGGUGAAAUGCGUAGAGAUCGGGAGGAAUACCAGUGGCGAAGGCGGCCUUCUGGACUGACACUGACACUGAGGUGCGAAAGCGUGGGUAGCAAACAGGAUUAGAUACCCUUGUAGUC
rnacentral:rRNA from 1 species